AGUGAAUAGAUACCCGGGUAGUCCCAGCUGUAAACGAUGCGCGUUAGGUGUAUCGGUGACCACGAGUCACCGAGGUGCCGAAAGGGAAACCGUGAAACGUGCCGCCUGGGAAGUACGGUCGCAAGGCUGAAACUUAAAGGAAUUGGCGGGGGAGCACCACAACAGGUGGAGCCUGCGGUUUAAAUCGGACUCAACGCCGGGAAGCUCACCGGAUAAGACAGCUGAAUGAUAGCCGGGUUGAAGACUCUGCUUGACUAGCUGAGAGGAGGUGCAUGGCCGUCGUCAGUUCGUACUGUGAGGCAUCCUGUUAAGUCAGGCAACGAGCGAGACCCACGCCAACAGUUGCCAGCAUGUCCUCCGGGAUGGUGGGGACACUGUUGGGACCGCCUCUGCUAAAGAGGAGGAAGGAAUGGGCAACGGUAGGUCAGCAUGCCCCGAAUUAUCCGGGCUACACGCGGGCUACAAUGGUCAGGACAAUGGGUAUCAACACCGAAAGGUGAAGGCAAUCUCCUAAACCUGUCCUUAGUUCGGAUUGUGGGCU
rnacentral:rRNA from 1 species